rnacentral:rRNA from 1 species
UACGUAGGGGGCGAGCGUUGUCCGAAGUUACUGGGCGUAAAGCGCGCGUAGGCGGGGGAUUAAGUGAGAGGUGAAAGGCUGGGGCUCAACCUCAUGCAGUGCCUCUCAUACUGGUUCUCUUGAGGGCGGUAGGGAGAAGUGGAAUGGCUGGUGUAGCGGUGGAAUGCGUAGAGAUCCGGAAGAACACCGGUGGCGAAGGCGGCCUGCUGGGACAGUGCUGACGCUGAGGCGCGACAGCGUGGGGAGCAAACAGG